UACGUAGGGUGCAGGCGUUAUUCGGAAUUACUGGGCGUAAAGCGUGCGCAGGCGGUCUAUUAAGUCAGGUGUGAAAUCCCCGGGCUUAACCUGGGAACUGCGUUUGUAACUGGCAAGCUAGAGUGUGGCAGAGGGUGGUGGAAUUCCAAGUGUAGCAGUGAAAUGCGUAGAUAUUUGGAGGAACACCAAUGGCGAAGGCAGCCCCCUGGGUUAACACUGACGCUCAUGCACGAAAGCGUGGGGAGCAAACAGG
rnacentral:rRNA from 1 species